ACUGCAAUACAGUGGUACCUCGAAAAUCGAUGCCUUCGACAAUCGUCGAUUUCAGAAAUCGACGAUUGCCAGGCGCCAAUUUUCACUCACUCAAGAAAAUCAACCAUUGCCAGGCGC